rnacentral:rRNA from 1 species
GAUGAACGCUGGCGGCGUGCCUAAUACAUGCAAGUCGAGCGAACAGACGAGGAGCUUGCUCCCCUGACGUUAGCGGCGGACGGGUGAGUAACACGUGGAUAACCUACCUAUAAGACUGGGAUAACUUCGGGAAACCGGAGCUAAUACCGGAUAAUAUAUUGAACCGCAUGGUUCAAUAGUGAAAGACGGUUUUGCUGUCACUUAUAGAUGGAUCCGCGCCGCAUUAGCUAGUUGGUAAGGUAACGGCUUACCAAGGCAACGAUGCGUAGCCGACCUGAGAGGAUGAUCAGCCACACUGGAACUGAGACACGGUCCAGACUCCUACGGGAGGCAGCAGUAGGGAAUCUUCCGCAAUGGGCGAAAGCCUGACGGAGCAACGCCGCGUGAGUGAUGAAGGUCUUCGGAUCGUAAAACUCUGUUAUUAGGGAAGAACAAAAGUGUAAGUAACUAUGCACGUCUUGACGGUACCUAAUCAGAAAGCCACGGCUAACUACGUG